rnacentral:rRNA from 1 species
AAUUUGGGACAUGGGUGGCAACCCUGAUCCAGCCAUCCCGCGUGUUCGAUGAAGGNCUNNGGGUUNUNAAGCACUUUUGGCAGNNNNNAAAAGGCUCUGGCUAAUACCUGGAGCUGCUGACGGUACCUGCAGAAUAAGCACAGGCUAACUCCGUGCUAGCAGCCGCGGUACUACUUAGGGUGCAAGCGUUAAUCGGAAUUACUGGGCGUAAAGCGUGCGCAGGCGGUUCGGCAAGAAGGAUGUGAAAUCCCAGGGCUUAACCUUGGAACUGCAUUCUUAACUGCCGGGCUAGAGUAUGUCAGAGGGGGGUAGAAUUCCGCGUGUAGCAGUGAAAUGCGUAGAGAUGCGGAGGAAUACCGAUGGCGAAGGCAGCCCCCUGGGAUAAUACUGACGCUCAUGCACGAAAGCGUGGGGAGCAAAC